GUAAGGAAUAUUGGACAAUGCCCGCAAGGGUGAUCCAGCCAUGCCGCGUGCAGGAAGACGGCCCUAUGGGUUGUAAACUGCUUUUAUACAAGAGAAAACCUCCCUACGUGUAGGGAGCUGAUAGUAUUGUAAGAAUAAGCAUCGGCUAACUUCGUGCCAGCAGCCGCGGUAAGACGAAGGAUGCAAGCGUUAUCCGGAUUCAUUGGGUUUAAAGGGAGCGUAGGCGGUCUUAUAAGUCAGUGGUGAAAGCUCCUCGCUUAACGAGGAAAUUGCCAUUGAUACUGUAGGACUUGAGUACAGUUGCUGUGGGCGGAAUAUGACAUGUAGUGGUGAAAUACAUAGAUAUGUCAUAGAACACCGAUUGCGAAGGCAGCUCACAAAACUGUAACUGACGCUGAGGCUCGAAAGUGCGGGGAUCAAACAGGAUUAGAAACCCCAGUAGUCC
rnacentral:rRNA from 1 species